rnacentral:misc_RNA from 1 species
GAAAUGCGAUAAGUAAUGUGAAUUGCAGAAUUCAGUGAAUCAUCGAAUCUUUGAACGCACCUUGCGCUCCUUGGUAUUCCUUGGAGCAUGCCUGUUUGAGUAUCAUGAAAUCUUCACAGUAAAUCUUUGUUAACUCAAUUGGUUUCUACUUUGGUAUUGGUGGUCUUUGCAGCUUCACACCUGCUCCUCUUUGUUCAUUAGCUGGAUCUCAGUGUUAUGCUUGGUUCCACUCGGCGUGAUAAGUUAUCUAUCGCUGAGGACACUGUAAAAGGUGGCCAAGGUAAAUGCAGAUGAACCGCUUCUAAUAGUCCAUUGACUUGGACAAUACUUUUAUGAUCUGAUCUCAAAUCAGGUAGGACUACCCGCUGAACUUAAGC